rnacentral:rRNA from 1 species
GAUCACCUUUUGAGCUCGGUCUCGUGGGUUUUGAAGAGUUUCAAAGCCUUCGGAUUCGCGGGAUUGGAAUCUCUCGGUGUACUUUUUCGUACGGUUAGUCAACAUCGGUUUUGAAUGUCAUAAAAUGACUGGAGGAAUGUAGCUUCGAUCUCGUAUUGAAGUGUUAUAGCCUUUGGUAGAUGUGAUGUUUGAGACCGAGGAUUGCAACGGAUACCCUUCAGGGCUAUUCGCCUGAUCUCUGAUACGUUGCCUUGAUGUUGAAAGCUUGCUUAUGAUGUUAGGGUAUUACGGUCAAAAGGUUAGAACGAAUUACAUUCGUUAAGGAUGUUGAUGUAAUGACUUU